GAUGAACGCUGGCGGCGUGCCUAAUACAUGCAAGUCGAGCGAACAGAUGAGGAGCUUGCUCCUCUGACGUUAGCGGCGGACGGGUGAGUAACACGUGGAUAACCUACCUAUAAGACUGGGAUAACUUCGGGAAACCGGCGCUAAUACCGGAUAAUAUAUUGAACCGCAUGGUUCAAUAGUGAAAGACGGUUUUGCUGUCACUUAUAGAUGGAUCCGCGCCGCAUUAGCUAGUUGGUAAGGUCACGGCUUACCAAGGCGACGAUGCGUAGCCGACCUGAGAGGGGGAUCGGCCACACUGGAACUGAGACACGGUCCAGACUCCUACGGGAGGCAGCAGUAGGGAAUCGUCCGCAAUGGGCGAAAGCUUGACGGAGCAACGCCGCGUGAGUGAUGAAGGUCUUCGGAUCGUAAAACUCUGUUAUUAGGGAAGAACAAAUGUGUAAGUAACUAUGGACGUCUUGACGGUACCUAAUCAGAAAGCCACGGCUAACUACGUG
rnacentral:rRNA from 1 species